rnacentral:rRNA from 1 species
UACGUAGGGUGCGAGCGUUAAUCGGAAUUACUGGGCGUAAAGGGUGCGCAGGCGGUUCUGGAAGUCAGGCGUGAAAGCCCCGGGCUUAACCUGGGAAUGGCGCUUGAAACUACAGGACUGGAGUAUGGCAGAGGGAGGUGGAAUUCCACGUGUAGCGGUGAAAUGCGUAGAGAUGUGGAGGAACACCGAUGGCGAAGGCAGCCUCCUGGGCCAAUACUGACGCUCAUGCACGAAAGCGUGGGGAGCAAACAGG